rnacentral:rRNA from 1 species
AGAGCGAACGCUGGCGGCAGGCCUAACACAUGCAAGUCGAACGGACCCUUCGGGGUUAGUGGCGGACGGGUGAGUAACACGUGGGAACGUGCCUUUAGGUUCGGAAUAGCUCCUGGAAACGGGUGGUAAUGCCGAAUGUGCCCUUCGGGGGAAAGAUUUAUCGCCUUUAGAGCGGCCCGCGUCUGAUUAGCUUGUUGGUGAGGUAAUGGCUCACCAAGGCUACGAUCAGUAGCUGGUCUGAGAGGAUGACCAGCCACAUUGGGACUGAGACACGGACCCAAACUCCUACGGGAGGCAGCAGGUGGGGAAUCGUUGCGCAAGUGGGACGAAAGCCGUGACCGCAGCCAUGCCGCGUGUAUGAUGAAGGUCUUAGGAUUAGUAAAAUUAC